rnacentral:rRNA from 1 species
UCGGACGGGUGAGUAACGCGUGAGAAUCUGGCCUAGGGUGGGGGACAACCACUGGAAACGGUGGCUAAUACCGCAUAAGCCUGAGGGUGAAGGAUUAAUUGCCUAAGGAUGAGCUCGCGUCUGAUUAGCUGGUUGGUAGGGUAAGAGCCUACCAAGGCGACGAUCAGUAACUGGUCUGAGAGGAUGACCAGUCACACUGGGACUGAGACACGGCCCAGACUCCUACGGGAGGCAGCAGUGGGGAAUUUUCCGCAAUGGGCGAAAGCCUGACGGAGCAAUACCGCGUGGGGGAGGAAGGCCCUUGGGUUGUAAACCUCUUUUCUCAGGGAAGAAUACUGACGGUACCUGAGGAAUCAGCCUCGGCUAACUCCGUGCCAGCAGCCGCGGUAAUACGGAGGAGGCAAGCGUUAUCCGGAAUGAUUGGGCGUAAAGCGUCCGCAGGUGGCAGUGCCAGUCUGCUGUCAAAGCUCAGGGCUUAACCCUGAACAGGCAGUGGAAACUGCACAGCUAGAGUGCGGUAGGGGCAGAGGGAAUUCCUGGUGUAGCGGUGAAAUGCGUAGAGAUCAGGAAGAACACCGGUGGCGAAAGCGCUCUGCUAGGCCGCAACUGACACUCAGGGACGAAAGCUAGGGGAGCGAAUGGGAUUAGAUACCCCAGUAGUC